UGUGGGAGCGGGCUUGCUCGCGAUUCAGACGACUCGGUGUAUCAGGUACACCGCGUCGAUGCUAUCGCGAGCAAGCCCGCUCCCACC
rnacentral:antisense_RNA from 1 species